GCAGGGUUAAUUAUGCUUCCCUGAAUUCCCCCAUCGUUUCUACAAGUUCUAUUGUAGUUUCCCACGCCUCUGAGGUACAGUAGGUUGUAGGGGGGUGUGGCUUGGGUGUGGCAGGGGUCGGUUCCCACGCUGAAGACCCCUUAAGUGUUCAUGUAGCCCCCUCCUCUGCCUCUUUUGCUACUGUCCUGAGGCAGAGGAGCUGUGAUGCGACUGGCUCGCUCCCUGUCUGAUGUGUUUGUUUUGUCUUAUAUUUCAGGUAUGCCAUGUUUGUUUAAUGUACUUUUGUUAUUGUCUAUUCACAUGUACUUUUGUGGCAACGCUGUUAACUGCGUGUCUCGUAGUCUUGCCGCACGCCGCUCUUUUGCUACUGUCCUGAGGCAGAGGAGCUGUGAUGCGACUGGCUCGCUCCCUGUCUGAUGUGUUUGUUUUGUCUUAUAUUUCAGUAAAAGAGUCAAAGACCAGGUCGGUUGUGGCGUCUCUUAUUAUA